AGAGUUUGAUCAUGGCUCAGGAUGAACGCUAGCUACAGGCUUAACACAUGCAAGUCGAGGGGAGAGGUUACCUUCGGGUAACUGAAACCGGCGCACGGGUGCGUAACGCGUAUACAAUCUGCCUUUCACAUAGGGAUAGCCCGAAGAAAUUUGGAUUAAUACCUAAUGGUAUAUAAGAGCGGCAUCGUUUUUAUAUUAAAGCUACGGUGGUGAAAGAUGAGUAUGCGUUCUAUUAGCUAGUUGGAGAGGUAACGGCUCCCCAAGGCGACGAUAGAUAGGGGUUCUGAGAGGGAUGUCCCCCACACUGGUACUGAGAUACGGACCAGACUCCUACGGGAGGCAGCAGUGAGGAAUAUUGGACAAUGGUCGGAAGACUGAUCCAGCCAUGCCGCGUGCAGGAUGAAGGUCCUAUGGAUUGUAAACUGCUUUUGUAAGGGAAGAAUAAGGAGUACGUGUACUUUGAUGACGGUACCUUACGAAUAAGCAUCGGCUAACUCCGUGCCCGCAGCCGCGGUAAUACGGAGGAUGCGAGCGUUAUCCGGAAUCAUUGGGUUUAAAGGGUCCGUAGGCGGGCUGAUAAGUCAGAGGUGAAAGCGCUUAGCUCAACUAAGCAACUGCCUUUGAAACUGUCAGUCUUGAAUGAUUGUGAAGUAGUUGGAAUGUGUAGUGUAGCGGUGAAAUGCUUAGAUAUGACGAAGAACUCCGAUUGCGAAGGCAGCUUACGGGAGCACAACUGACGCUGAAGCUCGAAGGUGCGGGUAUCAAACAGGAUUAGAUACCCUGGUAGUCCGCACAGUAAACGCUGGAUGCCCGCUGUUGGUUCAUUAGAGUCAGCGGCCAAGCGAAAGUGAUAAGUAUCCCACCUGGGGGAGUACGCACGCAAGUGUGAAACUCAAAGGAAUUGACGGGGGCCCGCACAAGCCGGAGGAACAUGUGGUUUAAUUCGAUGAUACGCGAGGAACCUUACCAAGGNGUUGAAUGGGAACUGACAGAGGUAGAGAUGAAGAGGCCCUUNCGGACAGUUUUCAAGGUGCUGCAUGGUUGUCGUCAGCUCUUGCCGUGAGGUGUCGGCUUAAGUGCCAUAACGAGCGCAACCCCUUUUCUUAGUUGCCAUCAGGUCAUGCUGGGCACUCUGGGAAUACUGCCACCGUAAGGUGUGAGGAAGGUGGGGAUGACGUCAAAUCAUCACGGCCCUUACAUCUUGGGCUACACACGUGCUACAAUGGGCUUUAAUAGAGGGGAGCGAAGCCGCGAGGUGGAGCAAACCCCAGAAACAAGCUCUCAGUUCGGAUCGGAGUCUGCAACUCGACUCCGUGAAGCUGGAAUCGCUAGUAAUCGGAUAUCAGCCAUGAUCCGGUGAAUACGUUCCCGGGCCUUGUACACACCGCCCGUCACACAACGAAAGUCGGAAGUACCCAAAGCCGGUGGGGUAACCUUCGGGAGCCAGCCGUCUAAGGUAAAGUCGAUGAUUGGGGUGAAGUCGUAACAAGGUAGCCGUAUCGGAAGGUGCGGCUG
rnacentral:rRNA from 3 species